UACCAGCACCCCGAGUGGUCGGGACGUUUAUUGGGCCUAAAGCAUCCGUAGCCGGUUCUACAAGUCUUCCGUUAAAUCCAGCUGCUUAACAGAUGGGCCGCGGAAGAUACUAUGGAGCUAGGAGGCGGGAGAGGCAAGCGGUACUCGAUGGGUAGGGGUAAAAUCCGUUGAUCCAUUGAAGACCACCAGUGGCGAAGGCGGC
rnacentral:rRNA from 1 species